rnacentral:rRNA from 1 species
UACGUAGGGUGCGAGCGUUAAUCGGAAUUACUGGGCGUAAAGAGCGCGCAGGCGGUCGUUCAAGUCGAGUGUGAAAGCCCCCGGCUCAACUGGGGAGGGUCACUCGAUACUGAUCGACUCGAAGGCAGGAGAGGGAAGCGGAAUUCCCGGUGUAGUGGUGAAAUGCGUAGAUAUCGGGAGGAACACCAGUGGCGAAGGCGGCUUUCUGGCCUGUUCUUGACGCUGAGGCGCGAAAGCUAGGGUAGCAAACGGG